rnacentral:misc_RNA from 1 species
GAACGCACCUUGCGCUCCUUGGCAUUCCGAGGAGCAUGCCUGUUUGAGUGUCAUGUCAAUACUCAAAUCCAUGCCUUUGUGUAUGGGUUUGGACUUGAAGGGUUUGCUGGCUUUUCGGAGCUGGCUCCUUUUAAAUGCAUUAGCUGGUUUUAUGAGCCUGUUUUUCAGUGUUGUAAUUUUUUAAUACGCGCUGUGAUGAACUAGUUCAACUUGCCGCUGAUAGACAACAUUUUUCUAUGUCUCUGACCUCAAAUCAGGUAGGAUUACCCGCUGAACUUAAGC